AGCAUGGUUCAUCGAAAGGACGUCAAGAAAUUGAAAAAGAAUCCUGUAAGGUGGAACAAAAUACAGGUUUGUGUAAUAAUAUAUCUAAAAAUAUACUACAUGUAAUGACACAUUUGAAUUGAAAUAGUUAUGUCAGUUGUUGAUUUACCUGAACUUUUUCAUGACAGUAUCCUCGUCAAGCUCUGGGUUCCAAGGAUUGGCGCUAUUAUGUUUGUCAUUACAUGAUUGAAACUAUCACAAGUAGACGGCAAUUAAUUCCUGAUAAGUGCUUUCAGGGAUUCCUAGCACUUAUUCCCAAGAGAUGAUUGACGAGCUAAGAGAUAUGUGGGUGAAUUAUUUAAACAAUCAAACACAAGACGAUGGAGAUUGAAGACGACGGUCAAGUUUGAAUUGUACAUAUUAUUUGAUUAUUUUAGAAUUUUAGUUUUAGUAGCUAGCAUUAGAUUAUAGAAACUUCAUUUUAAGACAUUAUUAGAAGAAAUUGAUGCUUUGAAUAAA